GCUUACGGCCUUACCACCCUGAACACGCUUGAUCUCGUCUGAUCUCAAAAGCCAAGCAGGGUAGGGCCUGCUUAGUACUUGGAUGGGAGACUUCCUGGGAAUAGCAGGUGCUGUAAGCU